rnacentral:tRNA from 1 species
AGCAGUAUGGUUUAGUGGAUAAAGCCAUGGUCUUAAGGUCAAAUAGACCUGGGUUCAAAUCCCAGCUCUGCCA